UUCUUUUAAAAAAUCACCCCUUAUUUGAAAUCUGGUAGCAGGCACCUAUUGGGGCACUACCACCUGACCCACUCUUCUGCCCCAGAAACCUCCUUUCUUCCCCAAAUCUGCCCCAAAGACAUGCAAACUUCAAAAAUCAUUUAAAAAUCACCCCUUUGGCCAAUUUAUUUGAAAUAUGGGUGGGAGCUUUCUUACACACAUUGGGGCACUACCACCCACCACAAUUCGUUCUGGGCAACCCUGGUGCCACCCUCCCUGGGGAAUUAUAACUAAGGCUGCUGAAAUCCCCAUUAUUCCCUAUGGGGAAAAGCUUAAAGACGCGUGCACUUCAAAAAUCAUUUAAACAUCACCCCUUUGCCCAAUUUCUUUGAAACAUGGGUGGUAGCUUCCUUGCACCCAUUGGGCACUACCACCCACCACCAUCCACUCUGGGCCACUCUGGUGCCCCCCACAUGGAGCUAUAAGUUUGCUUAAAUUCUCAUUAUUCCCUAUGGGGGGAAACUUAAAGAUGCAUAAACUUCAAAAAUUCUUCAAAAAUCACCCAUUUGCCCAAUUUAUUUGAGAUUUGGGUGGUAGCUUCCACCCAUUGGGCACUACCACACAACCCACUUUGGCCACAAAAUGGAGGUGCAAAUCUCUGAAUUUUUCAGAUCCAAAUCAGGGGUAAUUUGUUAUGUACCCGAAUCUUGGCAAUUGAGGACAGGGGUGAUUUGUUUUGUCUACAAAUCACCCAAAUCAGCCAGUUUCAGGUACAAACCAUUUGGUACCCAAAUCAUUUUGCACAUCCCUACAGAUCAGCUGUUUGGAAGGGAAGGGAGCAGGCAGAAUGAACCCACAUCCCCCUCCUACUCCUAAACCUCUGUGCUUCAUGUGGGCAGGUUUCGCAGCUGGAUGAAGUAGGGAAACCACAAGUACAGUUGUUGCUCCUACACAUUUGGCACCCUGCCUCAGGUAUGCAGAGAGGUCUCUGCAUACUGGAGCCACCACUGCUCCCUCCCUUCCCCUGCAGCUGCUACCUUAGGGGGAAAUUUUGAAAAAAUAAGGACUUCAUGCUUAGCAGAAUGUAGCUGACAUACUGUGCAACAUUACGUGGCCUUGCAGUGUAACAUUUGCACUGUUGUGCUUAUUGCAGAUAUUUCACAAAUGCUGUUGUAUAAUUGACGGCCAUUAUUUCCAGUGGCCCUCACUUCCCACAUUUGUGCCAUUCUUGUGAUAAGCACAACAGUGCUAUUGCACAACUGCUCAAACACUACAUUGCAAAGUGCAUGCAAUGUUGCAUAGUAUGCCAGCCUGUGUAUUUUGGCCCUGUAAUGACUUUGCUUUCCGGGGCCACGUAAGGCUUAACUUUCAGAAACAGUAAGCAUGCACUUUAUACCACCAACUGAAUAGCAGUUCUCUGAAUAGCAGGUCUAGGAUGCCAGGAGACAUUAAAUAUUAUGCCAUGUUUCCUUUGAGGGCUUAUGAUCUGCUCAUUCCUUGAUCAUUCUUCAUUUGUGCAGUCAAACAAAGGAAAGGCCAAAUUCUAAAGCAUUCAAAAAUAAUUUGAAAAGCCAUUUGUCAUCCUCCACCAGGUCCAUCUGCAGCAUAUGUUGUAUUUUCCCAGUUUUCCCCAAAUUAAUGUGACUGUUUCCCAAACAACUUUCAUUUGUGCCUGCCUUCAGAGCAAUAUGACAUCCUCACCCAUUUUUAAGCUAUUGAGCCAUAAAUAUUAUUUGGCCCUCUCAUCUGAAAUAAGUCAAAUGGCUUUGUAAAUUCAUACUUUACUCAGUUGAAUCCACAAAGAUUCAAAUGGCCAUCCUUUCUACUUUAUAUAAUGCAAAGAUUUUUUUAAAAAUCAUAAUUCAUGUCAAUGAAGCAAGUCGUAGAAGCCCUUCUAUUUUCAAACUGAUCUCCUGUCCUGAAGAAGGAUGUUUUCUUUAUUGGAGUCUAAGGUUCCUAACUGUACUAGCAUUCAUAUGUUCCUGUUCUAGUGUUGUUCAGCUGCAGCCUUGUCCUAGGUUCUUCCACCUUUAGGAAUUAAGUGAUAGCUACCACAGGAACUGGAACUUCUCUUCUGCGUGGCCUUGACUGUGGACACUUUCUCACACAUUUCUGUUUGGAUCCAUUUUCAGUAGCAGAAUCAGAAACAGGGGUCAUGGCAGCAGAACAUCAGGUUGUCCAUGUGGCUGGAUGCAACAGGCAACCAGGGAAUACCUGAACAUUCACAGAGGACAAGACGUGCCCUGCUCAGUACCAUGGAGGCCACAAGGGAGGCCCGCUGCAGUGAUCAGAGGGAAGCCAGCUGAGGUUACAUGAUGUUGUCACCAUUGUCUCUCAGGGCUUCUGUGCCUUUUCAAAAACAUGUGACAAAGCGUGGUGCAACAGGAACAGCCAUCUCUAGAACAGAGAUGCAAUCAACGACAUCUGUUAACCCUCUUGUAUAAUGGGAGCGCAAUGCAUUUUGCCACUGAGUCAAGGAAAAAAGUGCCAUCCCAUUUUGCUUUCUCUUCCUGGCCCCACCCCACUGGAUCAGAACCCUGUGUCAGUGCCCCUCUCCCAUCUUUUCCUCCCCUCCCCCAGGGGCAGGGCUGCUGAAGCAAAAGAGCAAGCAUGAAGGGAGUGGCAGUGGAGAGGAGGAGGAAGGGCAGCAGCAGUGUAGACCAGAGAUUCUCAAUGUUGGGUCCCCAGAUGUUAUUGGACUUCAACUCUCAUAAUCCCCAGCCCCAGUGAACUUUGGUUGGGGAUUAUGGGAGUUGAAGGCCAAAAACAUCUGGGGACCCAACGUUGAAAAUCCCUGGUGUAGACAAUACUGAGCUAGAUGGACCAAUGUCUGUCUCAGUAUAAGCAGUGGUUCCCAACCUGGAUUCCUCCAGAUGUUGCUGAACUCCAACUCCCAGCACCCCCAGCCACAAUAAAUUGUGGCUGCUGAUGCUGGAAGUUGGAGUUCAGCAACAUCUGGAGGAACCCUGGUUGGGAACCACUGGUAUAAUGCAACUACCUAUGUUUGUCAUGGAGCUUUGAAAGACACAGGCCUCCUACAAGAACAAAAAGAAUGGCCAUAUUUCUUUCCUUCUUUUUUAAUUCCUCCCAUGACUGGUGUAAUUCAAUAAAAGUGUUGAUUGUUUUCA